GUCCUACGGGGGGCAGCAGUGAGGAAUAUUGGUCAAUGGUCGGGAGACUGAACCAGCCAAGCCGCGUGAGGGAUGAAGGUACAGAGUAUCGUAAACCUCUUUUGUCAGGGAACAAAGGCGGGGACGUGUCCCCGGAUGAGAGUACCUGAAGAAAAAGCAUCGGCUAACUCCGUGCCAGCAGCCGCGGUAAUACGGAGGCUGCGAGCGUUAUCCGGAUGUCUUGGGUUUAAAGGGUGCGCAGGAGGUCUGUUAGGGCAGCGGUCAACGCCCGGGGCUGGACCGCGGCCCGCCGUUGGAACUGGCAG
rnacentral:rRNA from 1 species